rnacentral:rRNA from 1 species
GACGAACGCUGGCGGCGUGCUUAACACAUGCAAGUCGAACGGAAAGGCCCUGCUUUUGUGGGGUGCUCGAGUGGCGAACGGGUGAGUAACACGUGAGUAACCUGCCCUUGACUUUGGGAUAACUUCAGGAAACUGGGGCUAAUACCUGAUAGGAGCUCCUGCUGCAUGGUGGGGGUUGGAAAGUUUCGGCGGUUGGGGAUGGACUCGCGGCUUAUCAGCUUGUUGGUGGGGUAGUGGCUUACCAAGGCUUUGACGGGUAGCCGGCCUGAGAGGGUGACCGGCCACAUUGGGACUAAGAUACGGCCCAGACUCCUACGGUAGGCAGCGGGGGGGAGUAUUGCACAAUGGGCGGGAGCCUGAUGCAGCAACGCCGCGUGCGGGAUGACGGCCUUCGGGUUGUGAACCGCUUUCGCCUGUGACGAAGCGUGAGUGACGGUAAUGGGUAAAGAAGCACCGGCUAACUACGUG